UAGUACAAAUGAAGACAGAAGCCAUACACAACCAGACCACAUGAAAACAAGGACAAGCAGUUUACUGAUGCUGAGGAUAGUUUAAAGGUCCUAGAGAAAGAAUGGAAAAGGAAGAAAAACAAGUGGGAGAAAUGGCAUAGAAAGGAAGGAGGAGGCCAAUACUGGACAGAGCAGAAAGAAAUCUUGUCGUGAAAAGCAUAUGAAAUGCAUCCUUCAUCUGAUAAAGAUGCAGAAGACAUCGUGGGAAGCAAAAGUGACAGAUUUUCAAGUCAUCAGUGCAAAAUCAACAAAGCCCACUGUCCUCACAAAAAAAAGGUCUUCAUUCCAAAUCUGAAGUACUAGGACCUGCACCAAAGUCUUCCUCAAAUGCUGUCUUGGUUUGGGAAUACAAGUAUUCCACACCAAUGAGGCCACCUGUGGAAACACAGUGUAUCAUGCUGAUGUUUUAACAACACGUGGCUGAAAUACAGACAAAUGUCUUAUUUUUAUGAACACAGUACCUGGUCUGGUGUAAUCUUGUUCCAGUUUGAUGCCCAAAAGUUGUUGGCUCAGUACAUUAAGGUACUGCUAUAGCCACUGUAGCUGAUGUUCUUCCUACUGCCAUCUUCAACUGCAGUGACCCUAUUGGCAGCAUUCCACUGCAUUAGCCCUUCCUAUACAGCUGUACAUCUGGAUGGUCCUUGUGACGACCCAUGUGUAUGUGUGUCGUCCCUGGGUUGAAUUGUGGAAUUGCUCCGCCUCACAACUGAUUGCCCUCGGAUGGGUUUAUGGAGGACACCUGUUGUUGGAUUCCUGUCUGGCCUUUUAAAAGGCUGUAUGCCAACUUGUCAGCGGGCUGCAGUUGGGAUUUGAUUUUGUUUGGUUUCUGUUAACUUUGUUUUAUUUUACACAUCCAACAUUCCUACAGCCCAUUACAUGUUCAUGCAUUCACUUAACUUUACACCACUGAUUCCUGACUCUCAUGCUACAUUGUUUUGUUUCUGUAUAGUUCUGUUUUAAUAAAUUUAGUGUAUUCACACUUUCUUGUGUGUCCCCGUAUUUUGUUACGUCCUUUUCGAGCCAUGGGGCGUAACAAAUUGGGGCUCGUCUUCUUUGUAGUACAAUUGAUUUCUUAGUGUGAGAAUGAUUGAAAUAUUUGAUAUUCCUUCAUCCGUUUAUUCGUUUGAACAGUUUGAAACGUUGGUUUGCUCGCAACGUUUUGAGGGAAAUCCUAUUUGAAUAGUUUGACAUCACGUUGCAAUUUAGUCAUGUGUUGGGCAGCACCUGAAAGUGAUUGAUUGCAAUUGAUUGCCAUUCGAAGUCACAGACGGGUAAGUGGCUCUUGUGCAAAUUUGUUUGUUUUACUUGGGGUUUUUCCCGGUUAGGAUUAGCGACUUGUUUCCUUUGAGACAUGUCGUUUUUAUUGUUUUGGUAGUGUUGUGGUGAAAGCGGGUAGUAGCGGUUGUCUCGGGAGCACUUCCAUGGGGUUGUGAACUGUCGCUGGUAACCAGUUGCAGUUUCUCCCAUUGGGUUUAUGUGCUUAAAGUUCCCCCCGCCGGUAACUGCAUGAAGACUAGGGUCUAGUAAGUUAGAUAGAUUGGGUAUUUGGGAAAAGUAGAUGGGGAAAACUCUGAGUGUUUGAUUGCACAAGUAGUUGCUUGCGGUCUGUGAAAUAUUUAUGGCUGAUGUUAAAAAGUUUGCUAAAUCGCCUUCACACGCAUCAUAUUAAAUAAAUGCACAAAAGAACAACUGUUAAGAAUUGCGAGUUUUAUGAGGUUAAAAUUGAUAAGAGAUUUAUAGAAAGUACUAUCAGGAUUGAGUUGGAAAAUUAGUUGAUGGAAAAAGGAAUUUUACCAGCUGAAAUGGAGCAAACUCAGCAUGUACAGGAAGGUGGAUAGUGGUGGUUCAAUGGAAUCUGGUGCUUGUGCAAGUUUCCCACUUCAUCAAAAUGUAAAACUUGUUCCUAAAUUCCAUAAACAUGAUCCAGAUGUUUUUUGUCCCCCCCCUCUUUUUGAACAUGUCUCUGAAAUACAAGGUUGGUCCAAAACAAACUGUGCUCAAUUAGCUUUUUCUGAUUUGACUGCUGAAGAAUGCAAAGAUUAUGAUAUUAAGUUGGCAGUGUUCAAAGUGUGUGAGUGUGAGGUGUGGUCCGCCCUGUCAGUUUCUUCUCUUGCAAGUCUAACUCGUAUAAUUUGAAUUAUUCUGUUGUAGAAAAGGAAGCUUUUGCUUUGAUUUGGGCGUUACAACAUUUCAGUAUUUAUGUUGGUUCGGGUCAACCCAUUGUGGUCUACAUGAAUCACAACCCGUUGACGUUUCUUAGUUCUUUUCAUUGCCCAAAUCAAAGGCUCAUUCGUUGAUCUUUGUUUUUACAGGCUUACUCCCUUGAUAUUCGACAUGUCAGAGGAUCUGAAAAUGUUGUUCCAAAAGCUUGCUAGUGCGUUCUAUGGUGUUGCAGACAGUUAUCUCCAGCCCCAACAGAACACAUUCUUAACUGCGUGCAUCCUCUGUUAGACAUGUAAACUAUACCCUUUUCUGUCCUGGGCUGUGGCCUCAUACAGGUCCUUGAAGGACAUACUAGCAAAUUUGCCAAAGCCUAUGAGCACCUGGUCUUCUGGUGUGUCAGUGCCUUCUCUAACUUGGUGCUCUCUAAUGUCUCUGAUGCAUUUCACUUUGCAAUUUUGGGUUGCCCACUGGCAGAAACAUAAAUCGGGAAUAAUACAAAUGAAUGAAUAUAUGAAUGAAUUAUACGAAUGUAACUCUGAAGGUUCUGAUUGUCUUCAGAAAAGAUUCUGAUGUCAUUUUGUUUUCAUCUUUACUCUAUGUAACAUCUAAAGUAGUGAUCUUGAUCGCAAUACUGCUUUAUCCACAAAGUUCAUGAAAACAGCUGUAUUCAGCUUUUCCAUAAGCGCCAUCUAGUGUCAUACAGAGGAUUUACAGAUACUUACAUUUACAUUCAGCUUGUGUGCAGUUUUUGUCUGGCCAAAAAACAGACCGUUUGUCAUGCCCUUGCUGUAGCCUAUAUUUUGACCAGUUGAUGAAAAACAAACUUAUGUGGAUUCUACACAUUUAAACAAUUCAGAUAAGUUAGAUAAGAUUUAUGGAGCAGAUAAAAAAACAUAUAAUCAUUUAUUAAUCAGUUAUUAUUUUGACUUAACUCCUUUCUUUAUUUAAAGGCUGAAAUGUGAGGUUUGCCUUUUAUGAAACGUUCUCAAAGCUUUAUUUGAUCAUUUACUUUAGAUAUUUGAACAUGCCAUAUAGGUUGUCAGUCAUGUUGUCAUUUAAAAUCCUGACAUCAUUGGUACUGUUAUUGUUUUACUGAUUAGGUAAACAAAAAGUCAUUUUAUUUGUUGUUUGUUAAUUUUUAAAUGUAAAACUUGAAGUAAUUUAUGUGUCAGUACUUUUCAAACACUUCCAGCACAUUUUAACAAUACCGUGGUAAUACUGAUAACCGUGAUAAUUUUGGUCACUAUAAUCAUGAUAGGACAUUUUCAUACCGUUACAUCCCUAGUCAUUGGAUAGCAACCAUUUGAAGGUUUUGACCCGGUACUGGCUGAACUGCAGGGCGCUGUCGUUCAGCACAAGCUGGUGAUUUGACGUUAUAACCUGUUGUUGCCACAUGAGUACUGGCCUCCUCCUACACUAUUGUAGCAGGUCAUGAGAAACAUACACAGACAACUCUUUAUUUGUAGACAUAUAUUAACUAAAACUUUUUCUGAAAUGUGUAACUAUGUACAACAAUUAUUUGUAACACAAAACCUAUUGAAAGAAUGCAUUUAUGAUCGUUUGGACUAUUUGUUGAAACUAUGUCUGUCCUUUUUUGACUUCUUCCAGCCACUGGGCCACAGUCUUCCCAGAGGCCUUUGCACAAAAAAUGGCAGUGGCCAAAAUCUUUAGUUUUUGGCUGGCCGCAUUUUUGACAAAACAAAUGUUCCGGGGUUUGUCUUUUAUAUCAGACCUUGUGAUCUGGCUGCUGUGGCUGCCUCUUCUGCGUUCUUUUGCCGCCAAGUUGUGGUCCUGGGCACCCUUUGAUUGUGUGGUGCAGGUAUGGUUGCAGCAGCAAGUGCAGGUGCAGCAAAUGGUGUAGUUGUAGCAGCAGGUGCUGCAGCAGGUGCAGCAGUGGAUGGAAGAGAGGGUGUCAUUGGAGGACGUUGGCCCCAAACGUGCUGUCUUGCCUGUCCAGAAGCAUACUCGUGGAUGGCAAACUCAAAGGCUGUGUGUUCGUGCUUGAUUGGUGCAGGAAGUUUUGACAGCACUGGUGGGAGGAGUUCGGAGGCCACCAAUGGAGCUGUAAAGGGCUCAACGUUUUGCUGCAGGACUUCCCUCUAAAAUUAACAAUUAAUUUAACUUUCCACUGUGAGAUCAUCAACUGGUUAAGCUCGUAAAGCUUUAAUUUAGUCCUGGCCAUGAUUCUAGGGCUAUCCAGGACUACAUCCCUGAAGGUACGGUAGUCCCAGAGGUUGGCAGCCCACCGGUUCACAUUGACACCAGUGACGGUCUGACCAGCAGGGUAAAUGCGGCAGAGAGCCAGGCAGAUGGCCUCAACUAGAUGGCUUGCGUUGGGCUACUGAGCCGGUCCACUUUCCUCACCAAGGAAGCAGCUGCGAAGUAAGAAAGCAAGCAAAAUGAUGAAACAGAUUAUAUGUGAACAUAAACAACACUGUACAGCAUUGUCAUGUUUUUAGACACAUAGAACUUUUUUUUGAGAAUCUCUCUGACAUAAUUAGUCAAAUAAAAAUAAUAGAGUGAAAAAAAGAAAAAAAAAACAAAGUUUUGUAAUUGGAGCCAAGUAACUGAAAGUGCAAAGGAAAGACAGAACUUGCUAGAAAACAAUUUUAUUAGAUAAAGUCGUAAAACAUGAAUGAUCCAAAAAUUAAGGGGCAAUUUGGAAACUUACCGCUUUAGACUCUCUGUGCCAGGGGUCAUGCUGGUUGCUGAGUGACUGACUUUGAACCUGCCCACUCUGACAGGUUAUCCCACAGAGUGAUAAUCUUGUCCACCUUUUGCUGCGUGACGAAUCCCUGAUGGCGCAAGUCAACCAGACCAACUUAAUUACGUUGUCAUAACCAGGUUGGCCAUCUGGUCUUAGACUCUCCACCUGUACAUAAAAAUAAAUAUACUGGUCUGUCCCAGGAAAGAAAGACUCUAGAUCCGACUGCAAGGAUAGCAGGGGAUGGGCUGCAGGGGAUCGCAGAUGAGGUCCAUAAACUCAAGGGGCUCAUCCAAGUCCUCAAACCUUUCAUCCCCAUCCAGAUCACCCUCCAGGUCUUCCUCUUAAAGCCCAUCUGGAGUGUCAGGAUCCACUGCAAAGUCUUUCUCAAAUGCCCAUUUGGUUUGUGAAUACAAGUACUCAACGCCAGUGAGCUCACCUGUAGAAAUACACAGUGUAUAACACGGAUGUUUUAACAGCGCAUUGGUGAAAAACAGCUUCUGUGUGUAUGUGACAAAUGUGCAUGAACACAAUAGCUGUGUAUUCACCCGGUCUGGUGUAAUCCUCCACCAUUUUAAGGCCUAGAAGCUGCUCACUUGAGACAUUUAGGUACUGCUGCAUUUGUCUGCUGUGGCAGAUAUCUUCCCUGCAGCCAACUUCAACUGCAGCCAACUUCAGCUGCAGCAACUCCACACACUUCAUUCCACUGUACACUUGAAAGUGCAAGGCAUUUGCACUUGUACCUGAAAACAAAGACAGAAGUCAUUACCAAGGAAAACACUUGACUUGUGCACACACAAGCCAAUUGACUCUAUGCACGAUCACUUCCGCGUUUGGUCUCAGUCCGCUCAGUUACAUCCGGUGCAGCACCGGAAGCCGUUUUCGCUAUUGGUUAUAACUGUGUGAAACUGGAGCAGGAGAACAUGACAUACUUCACUCGCUGUUUACAAGAGCUUCCCUGCAUAAAAGUAAAUGACGUUAAUCGUAUCGUGAGGCAAUCAGCUCAGCAGUAAGAAAGAGAAGGGCUUCAAAUGAUAUAUUUCGAAUUACAUGGACAAUUUUGAGGGCGAGUAUUCUCAUGCUAUAAUGUUAUACGAAUAUCGAUUCUAGCCAUCUUCGUUUCUCACAGUUUAUGUCUUUGCAUGUAUGUAUGUAUGUAUUUAUUUAUUUAUAUAUCUAUCUAGUUACAUUUUAUGUACAUUGCAUCUUAUGUGAUUUUUUUUUUUAUUAAUAUACAUUAUGGAUUUUACUUUAUGAACGUUACUAACUAUAAAUAAUAUCUCAGUUUCUAGUAAGGAUCAGGUGACAGGAGAGAUCUGCGUGAGGGCGACAUUUUUCAGGUCGAUGAGGAAGUCAGAGAAGCCGCAUAGUUUGGGAGGUGUUGAACUCACUUAUUCAAACAGCCUUUUGCUGCCACCUACUGGUUUGGUUUCAAUUUAUUUUCAUUUCAAUGCCUACAGGUGUAGAAAACACACACACCAAAAUAAUAAUAAUAAUAAUAAUCAUAAAAAACGAACACAAAUAAUCAUUUAAUAUUGUAUUUACACAACAUCACCGUAGAUGAAAAGUUUAACACUGCAUCAAAGUUAUUUAUAUUUGCAUUUCUGCAUUAUAAAUGUUCAGUUAUAUUUAUGUUUACAUUACUGCAUUGCAUUUGUUCAAAGUUAUAUAUAGUUACAUGUUUACAGUAUUGUAUUGAAACUAUUAAUUAUAUUUAAAAGUUUGCAUUCCUGCAGUGCAGGCAACAUUGUAUAAAAUAUACGUUUAUAUUAUUUAUUACGAAAAUAAAUCUAAAAUCAUCAAUCUUCAACAAAUGUUUUACUGUCUUUAAUCCUUUGCCCAAGCUUUCACUAAUGGGCCAUUCUGGUAAUUACUAUAAUGUAUAACUAUAUAAUACUAUAUUGUAAUACUUAAAUUAUAAAUCGCUGUCAAAUUAAUCUUAUGAAAGAGUUUUGCCGCUCGUAUAUUUAGCUUUAGAAUGCGCUAUGCGGAAGUAAAUGGGCUGACCGAGAUUCUACCGGAAAUACGUCAGCAGCGUUCGUGCAUAGAGUCUAUUAUAACAUUAUAUUACAAACCUGGCACAAAGCGAUUCAGGUGCAGGUGAAAUGACUCCAGGGACGUCGAGCCACAUGCACGGCGGUACACACGCAGAAGUACACCUCCCUUGGUCACCUGUCCAGUCUUACUGUACAACUGUACACUCGUGGGGUCCUGGAUGCAGUCUAUGUGGCCAAAGAUCCUGCAUUCUCUGCUGGUCCAAGAGCUGGAUUCCCAUUGUGUCUGUCGCCCCCCUGAAGUCUUUAAGCAGCUUCUCAACAAGCUGCUUAGUCUCCUGAACCCCUCGAGUGCAGCGGCAGCAAUGUCUUUCAAGCUCUUUGUAGGUGGGCUGGCAGCCUGUUGACCGCUUGGCCUCCUUUAGCCUCUCCAUAUCUGAAGCGUCCCACUUGAAGAUGCAAGCAGAGAGGUUUUUCAUGAAGACACUGUACAGCGGAUGGCUGUCUGUGUUCACUUCUACUGCGAACUGCUGAAUAAGGUGCCACACAUCCAACCUGACAGCCAGCUGGUCACACUCUGCAAACAUCAGCUGCCUUGCUUUUGCCCGUGGUAGAGCAGCAGUCCCGGUCUACAUAAAGGACUUUUGAAAGAGCUUCUCCAGCUCUGCGGUCGCACUCCACUAUUCCAGAGCACAUGGCAAGCAGGCUAUCACCCUCUGACACCGUAAGGACACACAUGAGGGCCUGCCCAAACUCAUUGCCCACAUCUGUCACCCAUGCUGCUGUUCCAGCUGCCUCACCAGCGAGCUUCUUAGUGACCUGAAAUGGUGUUUAAAAAAGACUUAUUGUGAAAAGCCUGCAUCUCUACUAACAUUGAAGUUGUGUCUGUGGUGUGGGACAUUAACAAGCACAGAGAGGUAUUCUGAUGACUGGCAAACUUACUGCUUUCUGUGCCUGACACAGUUGCCUAUACAGGGCAUUGGCACUAUUUCCCAGUGUGUGCCCCCGCAUCAUCCUGAUGACUUCCUUAUCACAGGACAGCCUGCACAAUAAAGAAUAUAGCACAAUGUGUUAAUACAUCCACUACAGUAAAAACCGGGGUGUUCUAUUAGACAACAAAAACAUCUCUUUACAUCUCAUUAACCAAUCAUUUAUGUAAUGUAUGGUAUGCACAUUAUCUUUUGAUAACAAUAAAUUGCAAUGUAGAAACAUUGCAGCAGCUGUAUAGGAAAAAGAGAAAUUGUGUGGAUCGUUUUUUUUUUUUUUCCUGCUGAUGAUUUUGACUAACCAUUUGCAAAAGCGCAGAUUCUGGCAACAUCUCAGAGUCUUUUCUCUUUAUAUAUUUUUGCAGAAGUUCCAUCUUAGUACCUGGAUGGGCACUCUGCUUUUCCCCAUUUUACGAACCUGAAAUGGAGGAACACAGAAUUAGUUAAAGCCACAACACUGUCAACAGCAAUGAUUAUGUUGUGAUAAAUUUUGCAAUCAAAAGUUUGCAAUCAAAAGUGAUGUUCAAUCCAAACAAAAGAAUGAUCAUGUGCAUUUGGUCAGGUAUAACUGAAGUACAAGGUUUUGAGAAACAUUAUGUGAAUGCUUGGCUGAAGAGGUGCGUCUUUAAUUUAGAUUUAAACAGAGAGUGUGUCUGAACCCCGGAAGUUAUCAGUUUGAUGUAAGAUCAAGUAAAACUGGCAAUAGUCAGUUAAAGAGCUCUAUACCCUUUUCUGCUGCGGUCUGUUGCCUCAUAAAGGUCCUUAAAGGUCCUUAAAUGGUGGUAAAGUCACCAAAUCCAACAAGGACUUGGUCUUCUUGGGCUGGUGCCCUGUCUAAUUAGCUGCUCUGUGAUGGCAGCCAGCACAUCAGGAAACAAACCAGUGUACCGCAGCAAGACGUAUUUGUUGCCCAUGACAGUAGGCUGGGUGGUGUCACCGCCCUCACGCUCCCGCUGAUGCAUGGCCAGCACCAUGGCUACAUAACCAAUAUCACUGAAAAGCAACCAUUUAAAGGAUUUACCCCGUUACUGGCCAAACUGCAGGGUACUUUCACUCAGCACUAGCUGGUGAUUGGACGGGACACCUUCCGCUGCUGCCACAUAAGCGAAAGGCCUGCUGCGAGAGUGAAGGAGGAGGCCAAAGUGUCCUGGAGUGGGAUUCUUCCUGUAGGCAGUAGCAAGAGCCACUGCCUCAGGUGAGGGCUUAAGGGUGAGCUCACUGGAGGUCUCCCUGCAGAACUGGGCACUGUAAUCCAUCUUUUACAAGACAAAAAAGGGAAAGGGAAAAAAAAACAACAUCAACUGGCACAGCGCUGUUAAAACACAAAAAUACACUCGUUAGAUUUACAGUAGUGGCCAAAAGUGAUGUCCAAGGGGAUAUUUGCACAACAUUUGCUUUUAUUGACCCUAAAAAUUUAGUUUGGUUUAUCACAGUUGUUUUUUUUUUUUUUUACUGUGCAAAAUAAUUCAUAGAAGAGAAAAAUAGUCACAGGAAAAACCUUAUACGUUGACUUUAAUAUAAUUGGAUUUUAAUAUUUCUUUGAUUCUCAUUUAUAUUGGUUCUCCCAGGCAUUCUUCAAUAAGCAUUUAUUCUUGAGUUUUCACAAAAGAGCACAUACAAAAGGGGGGGGAUGGGGAACAGAUAACAAAACUUAGUAGGGUCAUGUACAGGUGCCUGUAUGACCUUUCUGGCCUUUGAUCUUUAUGAGUAGAGAAUAGUUUUAGAUUUUAUUGUAAUUGGAAGAAGUGGAAAAGUGGAACCGAAGAUCGGCUUGGCGAUAGCCAAUCUUCUCUGUUGGCCCCCUGCGCCCACCUGUGCCCUGCCCAUUCACAUGGCAAGAGAGCAGAGAUGGCCCCCUGUCCUUUCCAAGAUAGACCAGGAAUGGAGAGAAAACCUUCGGAAGAAGUUAGCUAUACACAUGAACAACACAAGGUUAUGUGUCUGCAAGGCAGAAGCCUCAAGGAAAGAACAGAGGAAGAUGAUGUUCCGCAAACCACAUUGGCCUCCAGUUAUUUCUGCGGAGGAAAGUGAGAAGAGGAGAAGGUUUUGGGAGAGCCUAGAAGAAGAUGGUUCUCAAGCCACCCCAUCCACGUCUAAGCAGUGGCCUCCAAAAAUUAAGACAGUUAGAGUGUCAGUUCCUCCAUCUGCAUCUUAGCUGUGUUCCCUGCUCCAUCAACUGUGACUGAUAAUCCCCUUAAAAAAGCUGGAGGAGAAGGAAGAAGGCUAAAGAAGAUGAGGAGGCCCUAAAGCAUGGCAAAGCCACCGCACAGAGAAGGGAUCCAAAGGGGCAUCCCUGCAGGCUUUGUGGAAAGCCCAAGAGACCUGAGUUUGGGCACAGCUUUUACCAAGGUGAACAUUUCUGUACCACGACUGCGGGAAAAUCUGUCUGGCUUUCCGAACAGAAGAGGGUAGCUGCUGCUGCUGACAAUGUCAGAGAUGUUCCUCAGACGACAGCUUGGAGAAGGAAGAAGAAAAAAGAGGCCAUUGCUGAAGACCUGUCAGAGAAGCAGGUAAAAGAACGCAAGAUAUUUACCUGCAGCCUGUGCCAGCAGCCGAAGACAAAGGAGUAUGGACACUCACGGUAUGGUGGCAAAGCCUUCUGCAGCACGUAUGAAGGCAAAACAGUGGAACUGUGAUUGGCGUAGCAACUGGCCCUUGCUCCUGUUGAAUGAAGGGUAGUUCUGCUCAUGGAUGUUCCUGCUGCUGGAGCAGAGAGAUGCUGGCCGUGGAGCAGAGAGGGCAGCAGCCGCUGGAGCAGAGAGGGAUGCUGCCAGUGGAGCGGACAGAGUGGGUGCUGAUGCAGGAGGAGGAGGUCACUACCGUGUUGCGUGGACUCAACAUAGGGGAAACGUUGAAGUGAUGACCCAGGUGCAGAGGGCAUUGACUUCAUCUGCCUGGCUACAGGAAGGUUGGUGUCAGACACCAUGCUGAUGUGAGUGCUGGGUAGUUCCCCACCAGUCUCCGUAUGGCCUGGUCAUCAUGCAGAAUGGCAGUCCAGCAGUUUGUUGAGACGCCCCACUUCACCUUCCCUGCUGGAUAAAUGGAGCAGAGCUCCAAACAUACUGCCUCUACAAUUCUACUAAUAUUAGGCCACUGCGCAGGACCCGAUCCCUGCCCCAGGACACACCUGCAAAAUAAAAUGGAUGAUUAUAAAGCAUAAAAAGCAUGGUCAUUUAUAUUUUUACAGCUCAAAGUGUGCAAAUGUUUAAAGUGCUCCUAGUAUGCAUUUCAAAUAUGACCUCAGGAAUUGAUCUUUUUCUGUUAUGGCUGUACAUCACGAAGUAACACAUCUGCAUAAUGUCUGCCCACAUUCUACGUCGUGAACAACUUGCCCGCCCACAAACAGUAAAAUUUCCAUGUGGAUAAAUGUCGAGAAGACGCUGUAUCCUAUGCUGUGAGAGUACAUUUGUUCUAUAUUCACUUCCAAAAGAUCGACAAAGAUUGUAUUUUCAAGCGAUCAUUCAAAAUAAGUAGUUGUGUAUGUUAUGUUGUGCAACAACCCUGCACAUGUCUUGCUAACCGGCUAACUCACGCUUCUGUUGUUCAGCUGUGGACCCGCUGUAGUCUAAACGUUUGUGAUUGAUGCAGCUUGAUUGUCUGUCUGUCUCAUUAGUUGGAGUAAUAAUAAAGGAUGGUGCACAAAGCGGCAUAUGAGGAUUUGCUAAUGUUUUUGUACUGUAAAGUAAUUUAAAGUCAUUGCCCUUUGAUGUACUGUAGUAAAAGCAACAGUCAUUUUGUGUGUACUGGGUUUUAAUACAUAGUUGAGCUGGUUACUGUAGUAAAACCAUGCUCAUCCCUUCAUAAGUGUUUAUGUGCCUGAUGUUAAUUAAAAGUAAAACUACAUCAUUUUUUUGCAAGGUUACAUGCAUGUUUUUUUGUACAGUUAGCUAUACUUUGCAAGAGUGCAUGUCUCAGCAAGGUGUGAAAAUGACCAAUCUGUGUGUGGGGGGGGUGGGGAACAGAUAACAAAACUUAGUAGGGUCAUGUACAGGUGCCUGUAUGACCUUUCUGGCCUUUGAUCUUUAUGAGUAGAGAAUAGUUUUUGAUUUUAUUGUAAUUGGAAGAAGUGGAACCGAAGAUCGGCUCGGCGAUAGCCAAUCUUCUCUGUUGGCCCCCUGCGCCCACCUGUGCCCCGCCCAUUCACAUGGCAAGAGAGCAGAGAUGGCCCCCUGUCCUUUCCAAGAUAGACCAGGAAUGGAGGGAGAACCUUCGGAAGAAGUUAGCUAUACACAUGAACAACACAAGGUUAUGUGUCUGCAAGGCAGAAGCCUCAAGGAAAGAACAGAGGAAGAUGAUGUUCCGCAAACCACAUUGGCCUCCAGUUAUUUCUGCGGAGGAAAGUGAGAAGAGGAGAAGGUUUU